rnacentral:rRNA from 1 species
GAUCAAGCUACUAAGGGCACGAGGUGAAUGCCUUGGCUCCAGAAGUCGAUGAAGGACGUAGUAAGUUGCGAUAAGCCGCGCCUAGCGACAAACACGCUUAAGCGCGGAUUUCCGAAUGGGGAAACCCGGCCAAUCAUGGUCGAUGUCAUGUGAAUGCAUAGCAUGGCAUCGGGACACCCGCUGAAGUGAA